rnacentral:rRNA from 1 species
AGGAUAAACGCUGGCGGCGUGCCUAAUGCAUGCAAGUCGCACGGAGUGUCUCUUCGGAGGCAUUGAGUGGCGAACGGGUGAGGAGCGCGUGGACAACCUACCCCGGCGUGGGGGAUACCCGCCAGAAAUGGCGGCUAAUACCGCGUACGGUCGUCGAACGAAGGGUUUGACGAAGAAAGCAGUAAUGCGCGCUGGGAGGGGUCUGCGGCCGAUUAGCUUGUUGGCGGGGUAAUGGCUCACCAAGGCGAUGAUCGGUAGCUGGUCUGAGAGGAUGAUCAGCCACACGGGGACUGAGAGACGGCCCCGACUCCUACGGGAGGCAGCAGCAAGGAAUUUUCCGCAAUGGGGGCAACCCUGACGGAGCAACGCCGCGUGACGGAUGACGCCUCUUGGGGUGUAAACGUCUUUUGCCGAGGGAGAGAAUGGACGGUACUCGGCGAAUAAGGACCGGCUAACUACGCGCCAGCAGCCGC